UACAGAGGGGGCAAGCGUUGUUCGGAAUUACUGGGCGUAAAGGGCGCGUAGGCGGCCUUCUAAGUCGAACGUGAAAUCCCCGGGCUCAACCCGGGAACUGCGUCCGAUACUGGAAGGCUUGAAUCCGGGAGAGGGAUGCGGAAUUCCAGGUGUAGCGGUGAAAUGCGUAGAUAUCUGGAGGAACACCGGUGGCGAAGGCGGCAUCCUGGACCGGUAUUGACGCUGAGGUGCGAAAGCCAGGGGAGCAAACGGG
rnacentral:rRNA from 1 species